rnacentral:sRNA from 1 species
UUUUAGCCCUGAUAGCAGCGGCAUCCUUUUUUGUGUUAUUUAAUAGGACUAAACGUAGGUUGAAGAAAAGGGUUUUAGAUUUAGAACAACCUUAAGGUUAUCUACAAAAAAGAUAUAGCGAAUAGCAGGAAAUAGC